rnacentral:rRNA from 1 species
GGACUACCAGGGUAUCUAAUCCUGUUUGCUCCCCACGCUUUCGCGCCUCAGCGUCAGUUACGGUCCAGAGAGCCGCCUUCGCCACCGGUGUUCUUCCCAAUAUCUACGAAUUUCACCUCUACACUGGGAAUUCCACUCUCCUCUCCCGUACUCCAGCCCCACAGUCCCAAGCGCAAUUCCCGGGUUAAGCCCGGGGCUUUCACGCCUGACUUGCAAGGCCGCCUGCGCGCCCUUUACGCCCAGUAAUUCCGAACAACGCUCGCCCCCUUCGUAUUACCGCGGCUGCUGGCAC